AUGGCUAUCCAAGAAGCUUUGUUAGACAAGCCAAGAAAAUCGAUUCCAAAAACAUUUUGGUUAAUCCUCUCUUUAGCUGCUAUCAUAAGCUCAUCAGCCCUUAUUGCUACUCAUCUCAAGAAACCAACCUCCUUCUUCCACUUCUCUUCUGCUCCAAAUCUGUGUCAGCAUGCUCUUGAUACAGAAGCAUGCUUAACUCAUGUAUCUGAAGUUGUUUAA